UUCAACAACUGAAUAUUGUUAUGCUAACACAUGUUUAGUUGGUGUGUGUUUUGUCAGAUAAAAUGCAUGUUUCUCAGGAGACACAUACUGUAGUUAAUUCCGAAGGAGAAUAGCAACCUUUGCUUCUGCUAGAUACGUACUUAAAUUUAUUGAUAUUCAACUAUUUUUGUUGUUUCGGUUUAGUUCCAUCCAAGGCCACCAGUUGGUUAUAAGUACUUCCAAAUAGUGAUCACCCAAUCUUCUGUAGCAUGUAUAUACUGAUGGUAGUUUCUUCCACCGAAUAUGUGAACCUGGAGAAGACUCACUAUGAAGGUCUCCUGACAACUAAAGUUUUACCUGCUAUUAAAACGGUCGAAACAGAGUAUGCAGAUCUUCAGUAGCUUCGACAGAUUUUUGUUGAACUACGAUUGUUUCUGUAUGCUUCUUCUCUAAGAGAAAAUUGUGUUCUGUUGUAGUUACAGUCAGUGGGGGCCUGAAAAUUCACAUCACCAAAAGAAUUGUAGAAUUUGAUAAGAGAACAUUUUCUUAAUAAGUAAAUAAGACGCAAUUACAGUGUGUAACAUUCUGAUGAAUGAACCUGCUGCAAGAGGCAAUAAAAGUGACGAUGCUUGAUUUUAUUAAUUGUCAGGAUGAAAUAUAAAGUAGUAAGAUAAGUGUGAGCGUUCACCUAAUUUGUUUUUUACCUAUUAAAUGGCCAGUUGGCGACGUACUGUCAACUUGGUACAUUCAACAUGCGUGUUCAGGUUUUAGGAUGAAAUUUAAUCCAAGAUCAUUACUUUAUGUUUUCCUACGUAUAUGUUGGCAUCUUUGACUUUGAUAUGUUCGUUGCACUCUAUUGGGCCUACUUUUGACCCAAGUACAUUGCCAUGCAGUCGUGUGAAAAAGUAUUGGGCUUGCAGUGAAAGAAGUUCCGGCCUUUUGAAGCAACAAUUGACAUGGCUGUACAUACAAGUUUCUUUCUUGGAUGUCUAUUAUUUGUUUUUCUGCUAGCUUUGAUUUCUCUUUUUGGUCAGUUGAAACGGUUAGUCUUGAUAGGUCGACCACUUAUAUUAUUUCGAAGGUUCAAUGAGCAUAUGGUAAAGAAAGGUAUCAAUAGAUUCACCAAUGUAGAUUACAAGAGUAAAGGUUUAUCUAAUGAGGCCUUGUCGCGGCGCUGCAAGUGUUGCCCCCCUCCUCCCCAAGGGCUAGGUGAAGGAGGGUGCAUGUGUGGUUCUUCUGCAGCUCGCAGCGAGGAUUCUUGUGUCCAACCUGCACAAGAAUGCCAAGAAGUCCUUCUCGGAGAUGAUUAAGGACAUGUACCUGCACUACAACGAGAGAUCUUGGCUGCUUUUUUGUGGCUUCCAAACUUGAAAUGUUUGUUUGGAAGUUAGUUUAGUUUUUUGUUGUGGAUUCACAGCUUCUCACAUGUACCGUCCUCUUAGACCUUUAGAUUUUCAAAGAAACUAAAUGAAGAUAUGGUGGUAUGGUCUCAAUAGUACAACUUAAAGCCUUCCAUGCUUUAUA